ensembl:snRNA U6 U6 spliceosomal RNA
GUGCUUGCUUCGGCAGCACAUAUAAACAAAUUGGAAAAAUACAGAGAAGAUUAGCAUAGCCCUGUGCAAGGAUGACACGCAAAUUUGUGAAGUGUUCCAUAUUGUU